rnacentral:pre_miRNA from 1 species
CCCUUCAUUCCACCGGAAUCUGUCAGUGCAGAAACCAGAUUUCAGUGAAAUGAAGCCCA